rnacentral:rRNA from 1 species
AGAGUUUGAUCCUGGCUCAGGACGAACGCUGGCGGCGUGCUUAACACAUGCAAGUCGAGCGGUAAGGCUCCUUCGGGAGUACACGAGCGGCGAACGGGUGAGUAACACGUGAGCAAUCUGCCCUUCACAUCGGGAUAACUUCGGGAAACCGAAGCUAAUACCGGAUACGACCAUCGAUGGCAUCUUCUGAUGGUGGAAAGUUCCGGCGGUGGAGGAUGAGCUCGCGGCCUAUCAGCUUGUUGGUGGGGUAAUGGCCUACCAAGGCGACGACGGGUAGCCGGCCUGAGAGGGUGACCGGCCACACUGGGACUGAGACACGGCCCAGACUCCUACGGGAGGCAGCAGUGGGGAAUAUUGGACAAUGGGCGAAAGCCUGAUCCAGCAACGCCGCGUGAGGGAUGACGGCCUUCGGGUUGUAAACCUCUUUCAGCAGGGACGAAGCGAAAGUGACGGUACCUGCAGAAGAAGCACCGGCCAACUACGUGCCAGCAGCCGCGGUAAUACGUAGGGUGCAAGCGUUGUCCGGAAUUAUUGGGCGUAAAGGGCUCGUAGGCGGUCCAUCACGUCGGGAGUGAAAAGCUGGGGCUUAACCCCAGUCCUGCUUCCGAUACGGGUGGACUAGAGGUAGGCAGGGGAGAACGGAAUUCCUGGUGUAGCGGUGAAAUGCGCAGAUAUCAGGAGGAACACCGGUGGCGAAGGCGGUUCUCUGGGCCUUACCUGACGCUGAGGAGCGAAAGCGUGGGGAGCAAACAGGAUUAGAUACCCCGGUAGUCC